rnacentral:rRNA from 1 species
UGAGGAAUAUUGGUCAAUGGGCGAGAGCCUGAACCAGCCAAGUCGCGUGAGGGAAUAAGGCCUACGGGUCGUAAACCUCUUUUGCCGGGGAGCAAGUCGGGCUCGUGAGCCCUGAUGGAGAGUACCCGGAGAAAAAGCAUCGGCUAACUCCGUGCCAGCAGCCGCGGUAAUACGGAGGAUGCGAGCGUUAUCCGGAUUUAUUGGGUUUAAAGGGUGCGUAGGCGGGCUGGCAAGUCGGCGGUCAAAUGUCGGGGCUCAACCCCGGCCUGCCGUCGAAACUGCCAGGCCUUGAGUGAGCGAGAAGCAGGCGGAAUGCGUGGUGUAGCGGUGAAAUGCAUAGAUAUCACGCAGAACCCCGAUUGCGAAGGCAGCCUGCCGGCGCUCAACUGACGCUGAGGCACGAAAGUGCGGGGAUCGAACAGGAUUAGAUACC